rnacentral:rRNA from 1 species
GACGAACGCUGGCGGCGUGCUUAACACAUGCAAGUCGAGCGAGGCCCCUCCUUCGGGAGGGUGUCCUAGCGGCGAACGGGUGAGUAACACGUGGGCAACCUGCCCUCAGCUCUGGGAUAACUCCGGGAAACCGGGGCUAAUACCGGAUACGACCUCCACGGGCAUCUGCGGAGGUGGAAAGUUUUUCGGCUGAGGAUGGGCCCGCGGCCUAUCAGCUAGUUGGUGGGGUAGUGGCCCACCAAGGCGACGACGGGUAGCCGGCCUGAGAGGGCGACCGGCCACACUGGGACUGAGACACGGCCCAGACUCCUACGGGAGGCAGCAGUGGGGAAUAUUGCGCAAUGGGCGAAAGCCUGACGCAGCGACGCCGCGUGAGGGACGAAGGCCUUCGGGUUGUAAACCUCUUUCAGCAGGGACGAUGCGAAAGUGACGGUACCUGCAGAAGAAGCACCGGCCAACUACGUG